CUGGUUGAUCCUGCCAGGCCUAAUUGCUAUUCAGCUAGUACUAAGUCAUGCAAGUCAAAUGUGCAUAGGCACAUGGCAGACUGCUCCGUAACAAGUGGAGAAUUUACCCUCAGCUGGGGCAUAACCUUGGGAAACUAAGGAUAAUUCCCCAUAGUUGAUCUGGUCUGGAAUGAUCUAUCAUCGAAAGCUUUUGCGGCUGAGGAUAACUCCGCUCCUGAUUAGGCAGUAAGUGAGGUAGUGGCUCACUUAACCUUUGAUCAGUAGGGGUGAUGUAAGUCAGAGCCCCGAGAAAAGUCCUGAGACACAGACUUUAGGCCUACGGGCCGCAGCAGACGAGAAACCUUUACAAUGCGGGACACCGCGAUAGGGUUAGCUGAAGUGCGCACGCAAUUCCGAAGGGUAAGGUCCUUCGGGCUAAGGAGAGGACAAGGCUGUUCCAGCCCCCGCGGUAAAACCAGCUCUUCAAGUGAUUAGGACUUUUAUUGAGCUUAAAGCAUCCGUAGCAGGAAUGAUUGGUUCCAGGUUAAAUCCCACAGCUUAACUGUGGACUCGCUUGGAAUACCAUCAUUCUAGGAAUUGGGAGAUGUUAGCCGUACUCCAGGUAUAGCGGUGAAAUGUGUUAAUCCCUGGGGGACGAACAGUGGCGAAGGCGGCUAACAAGAACAAGUUCGACUGUGAGGGAUGAAAGUCAGGGUAGCGAAAGGGAUUAGAGACCCCUGUAGUCCUGACCGUAAACGAUGCCCGCUAAGUGUUGCAACUUUUAUGAAAAGUUGCAGUGUUCGAAGGGAAACCGUUAAGCGGGCCGCUUGGGAAGUAUUGUGGCAACACUGAAACUUAAAGGAAUUGACGGGAAUCGACUCCAAAGCGUGGAGCCUGCGGUUUAAUUGGACCCAACCCCAGAAAUCUUACCAGGCGCCUGUUACUAUGAAGGUCAGGUUGACGACCUUACCAGAGAAAACAGAUGGUAGCGCAUGGCCCGGCAAAAUUUGUGUCGUGAGAUGCCCUGUUAAGUCAGGUAACAAAUGCAACCCCAGCCCCUAAUUGCCACCGAACGGCUCCGGCUGUGAUCGGGAACCUUAGGGGGAUCGCAAUGUUUUUAACAUUGAUGAAAGAGGGGCCAUCCGAGGUCAGUAUGCUCCUGAACGACCUGGGCCACACGCGGGCUACAAAGGCUGGCACAAUGGGCACCGCGAAACCGAAAGGUGGAGCUAAUCCCGAAAUCCAGUCUCAGUUGGGAUUGUCGGCUGCAACCCGCCGACAUGAACGUGGAAUGCUUAGUAAUCGUGUGUCAACAACGCACGGUGAAUACUGGCCAUCGAUUUUGUACACACCGCCCGUCGCUUGAACCGAGGAAACAAGUGCUGAGGCUUUGCCGUAGGGGCAAAUUCGAAGUGCAGGUUUCUG
rnacentral:rRNA from 1 species